UACGGGGGAUGCAAGCGUUAUCCGGAUUUAUUGGGUUUAAAGGGUGCGUAGGCUGUGAGGUAAGUCAGCGGUGAAAUGCCCCCGCUCAACGGGGUGAAGUGCCAUUGAUACUGCCUUGCUGGAAUGCGGAUGCCGUGGGAGGAAUGUGUGGUGUAGCGGUGAAAUGCAUAGAUAUCACACAGAACACCGAUUGCGAAGGCAUCUUACGAAUCCGCUAUUGACGCUGAUGCACGAAAGCGUGGGUAUCAAACAGG
rnacentral:rRNA from 1 species